rnacentral:rRNA from 1 species
ACUCCUACGGGAGGCAGCAGUGGGGAAUAUUGCGCAAUGGGCGAAAGCCUGACGCAGCGACGCCGCGUGGGGGAUGAAGGCCUUCGGGUUGUAAACCCCUUUCAGCAGGGAAGAAGCGCAAGUGACGGUACCUGCAGAAGAAGCACCGGCUAACUACGUGCCAGCAGCCGCGGUAAU